ACGAACGCUGGCGGCGUGCUUAACACAUGCAAGUCGAACGAUGAAGCCCAGCUUGCUGGGUGGAAGAGUGGCGAACGGGUGAGUAACACGUGAGUAACCUGCCCUGAACUCUGGGAUAAGCACUGGAAACGGUGUCUAAUACUGGAUACGACCUAUCACCGCAUGGUGUGUGGGUGGAAAGAUUUAUCGGUUCUGGAUGGACUCGCGGCCUAUCAGCUAGAUGGUGAGGUAAUGGCUCACCAUGGCGACGACGGGUAGCCGGCCUGAGAGGGUGACCGGCCACACUGGGACUGAGACACGGCCCAGACUCCUACGGGAGGCAGCAGUGGGGAAUAUUGCACAAUGGGCGCAAGCCUGAUGCAGCAACGCCGCGUGAGGGAUGACGGCCUUCGGGUUGUAAACCUCUUUUAGUAGGGAAGAAGCGAAAGUGACGGUACCUGCAGAAAAAGCACCGGCUAACUACGUG
rnacentral:rRNA from 1 species